AGUGAACGCUGGCGGUAGGCCUAACACAUGCAAGUCGAACGGCAGCACAGUAAGAGCUUGCUCUUACGGGUGGCGAGUGGCGGACGGGUGAGGAAUACAUCGGAAUCUACUUUUUCGUGGGGGAUAACGUAGGGAAACUUACGCUAAUACCGCAUACGACCUACGGGUGAAAGCAGGGGAUCUUCGGACCUUGCGCGAUUGAAUGAGCCGAUGUCGGAUUAGCUAGUUGGCGGGGUAAAGGCCCACCAAGGCGACGAUCCGUAGCUGGUCUGAGAGGAUGAUCAGUCACACUGGAACUGAGACACGGUCCAGACUCCUACGGGAGGCAGCAGUGGGGAAUAUUGGACAAUGGGCGAAAGCCUGAUCCAGCCAUACCGCGUGGGUGAAGAAGGCCUUCGGGUUGUAAAGCCCUUUUGUUGGGAAAGAAAAGCAGCAGGUUAAUACCCCGCUGUUCUGACGGUACCCAAAGAAUAAGCACCGGCUAACUUCGUG
rnacentral:rRNA from 1 species